rfam:Felis catus isolate Cinnamon breed Abyssinian chromosome A1, whole genome shotgun sequence.
GCCUGGCUGGCUCAGUUGGUUAAGCAUCUGACUCUUGAUUUUGGCUCGGGUCAUGAUCUCACAGUUUGUGGGAUCGAGCCCCAUGUUAGGCU